CGAAGGGGCUAGCGUUGCUCGGAAUGACUGGGCGUAAAGGGCGCGUAGGCGGUAUGGACAGUCAGGUGUGAAAUUCCCGGGCUUAACCUGGGGACUGCAUUUGAUACGUUCAAACUAGAGUGUGGAAGAGGGUCGUGGAAUUCCCAGUGUAGAGGUGAAAUUCGUAGAUAUUGGGAAGAACACCGGUGGCGAAGGCGGCGACCUGGUCCAUUACUGACGCUGAGGCGCGAAAGCGUGGGGAGCAAACAGGAUU
rnacentral:rRNA from 1 species